AACCCGCCGCUCCCGCUCUUCGAAAUCGCAUCUCGAGACCCGCGAAGCGUCUCAGCUCGGCCCUCAUCCUUCCCGCAGCGGCGGCGGCCCGGGACCCGCGGGCUGUGGACCAUGUACACCCGCAGUGGGGUGCAGGGCUCCGGGUUCGGAGCCCCCGCCGCCUCCCGCCCGGCCCGGGACCCCGCUGCGUGGCGCGGGGAGCUGGGCCCGCCGCAGGGCCCCAGGCGGGGUUUGGAGGAGGCUCCCGAGAGCCCUUCGCGGGAGAGCCCGGAGCACGCGGGCCGGAGGUUCACAGGUGCAUAUACCUUGAUAGCACCAAAUGAAAAACGAAGAAAUGAGAUGCAACGGAUGGCUGCAAAAGAGCUGGAGGACCUGAAGAGGUGGAAGGAGCAACAAAGGACGAAGCCCAUUAACCUGGCACCCAUGCAGCUAGGUGGAAACCAGUCAGAGGUUGAAGUCAGGCAGAGACAACAACUUCAACUGAUACAAUCUAAAUACCAGAAAAAGCUUAAAAGAGAAGAAUAUAUAAGAAUCAAGAGGGAAGCUGAAGAAGCCGAAAUCCAAAAAAUGAAGGCAGUUCAGAGACAAAAGAGCAAUAAACUAGAGGAGAAAGAGAGACUUCAAGAAAACCUCAGAAGAGAAGCUUUUAGAGAACAUCAGCAAUGCAAAACUGCUGAGUUCUUGAGAAGAUUCGACACACAGUCGCCACACAGAGGUACCCGUCCAGUGGCUGUUUGUGACCCACAAUCUUCAGCUUGGGCCAGAAGACAGGCUUCUAUGGAUUCUAUAAGGGAAGGAACUAAAAAAUUGCAAAAGAUGAAGGACGAACAUAGCCAGAAGAGUGAAUUACUGGAAUUUAAACGAGAGCAAGAGGAGGAAGAAAGAGCCAAAAUCCAGCAGGCUGAACACAGGAGGGUAAAUAAUGCUUUUCUGGACCGACUCCAAGGUGAAAGUCAACCAGGUGGCCUCCAGCACUUUGGAGGCUAUUGGAAUAUGAAUAGUGGUAACAGCUGGGUUCCUCACAGAUAAAAAGAGAGGAACAUUGCUUUCUCACGAUGUGAUGUGAGUGAGGAUGAUUGAAGAUUCCUUAGUAAGAUAGGCAUAUCCAAGUCCAAAGUGUAUACUGGCUUCUCCCUUGCGUGAAAGAAGCAGUGACACAAAGGAUAUAUGAGAAAUAUUUGCUUACAACUGGCCUUUGUCAACUGACCUUGAAAAACCACACGAGAUGUUUUUCCUUCUUGCAGUUUUGUUUAGCCUAACUGUUUUUACCUUGCCUUCAACUGCCCACCCACUCAGCUGAGCAUCUGGGGAUGACUGGUUUCUCCCUGUCAUUAUUUAUGCAUGUUUGUAGGAGCUGAUUACUGAACUCAUAUUUAAUCUCUACUGCCAGUGAAAUGCUGCAUUAUUUUUCUAAUUGGUUUCACCUCGUAUUGGAAGUAUAAUUAUAGACGUGUUAGUAAGAUAGAAAAGGAGGGAAUCAUUUGAUGCUUUCAGGUUAGUGAGAGCUGUGGGUGCUGCAUGCCUGUCUCUCUAAACAGCUAAUUCUUAUCUAAUUCUCAGAUCAGGUUUGGGGAAGCUUUGGCACCUUUAGAUUUGAAUCCCUGCUUUCUUAAUUCAGGGCACAAAUGUGAGCAAAAGAAAAAAAUAAAUCUUUUAUAUGCUUUUAAACAAAUUUAUAAAUAAAAUUUGAACUGCUUCUGUAUAAA